GACGAACGCUGGCGGCGUGCUUAACACAUGCAAGUCGAACGGACAGUUCCUGCUUUUGUGUGGUGCUCGAGUGGCGAACGGGUGCGUACCACGUGAUUAACCUGCCCUUGCCUUUGUGAUAACUUCGGGAAACUGUGGCUAAUACCGGCUAGGAGCUCCUACUGCUUGGUGGUGGUUGGAAAUUUACGGCGGUUGGGGAUGGACUCGCGGCUUAUCAGCCUGUUGGUGUGGUAGCUGGUUGCCGAGGCUUGGACGGGUAGCCGGCCUGAGACGGAGACCGGCCACAGUGGGACUGAGAUACGGGCCAGACGCCUACGGGAGGCAGCAGUGGGGAACAUUGCACAAUGGGCCGAAGCCGGAUGCAGCAACGCCGCGUGCGGGAUGACGGUCUUCGGGUUGGAAACCGCGUUCGCCUGGGACGAAGCGUGAGUGACGGUAAUGGGUAAAGAAGCAACGGCUAACUACGUG
rnacentral:rRNA from 1 species